rnacentral:rRNA from 1 species
UAGGGAAUCUUCGGCAAUGGACGAAAGUCUGACCGAGCAACGCCGCGUGAGUGAAGAAGGUUUUCGGAUCGUAAAACUCUGUUGUUAGAGAAGAACAAGGACGUUAGUAACUGAACGUCCCCUGACGGUAUCUAACCAGAAAGCCACGGCUAACUACGUGCCAGCAGCCGCGGUAAUACGUAGGUGGCAAGCGUUGUCCGGAUUUAUUGGGCGUAAAGCGAGCGCAGGCGGUUUCUUAAGUCUGAUGUGAAAGCCCCCGGCUCAACCGGGGAGGGUCAUUGGAAACUGGGAGACUUGAGUGCCGAAGAGGGGAGUGGAAUUCCAUGUGUAGCGGUGAAAUGCGUAGAUAUAUGGAGGAACACCAGUGGCGAAGGCGGCUCUCUGGUCUGUAACAGACGCUGAGGCUCGAAAGCGUGGGGAGCAAACAGG